rnacentral:rRNA from 1 species
AUUGAACGCUGGCGGCAGGCCUAACACAUGCAAGUCGAGCGAGCGGCGGACGGGUGAGUAAUGUCUGGGAAACUGCCUGAUGGAGGGGGAUAACUACUGGAAACGGUAGCUAAUACCGCAUACCAUCAGAUGUGCCCAGAUGGGAUUAGCUAGUAGGUGGGGUAAUGGCCCACCUAGGCGACGAUCCCUAGCUGGUCUGAGAGGAUGACCAGCAACACUGGAACUGAGACACGGUCCAGACACCUGCGGGAUGCAGCAGAGGGGAAUAAUGCACAAUAGGCGCAAGCCUGAUGAAGCCAUGCCGCGUGUGUGAAGAAGGCCUUCGAGUUGUAAAGGCCUUUCAGCGGGGAGGCGUUACCCGCAGAAGAAGCACCGGCUAACUCCGUGCCAGCCGCCGCGGUAAUUC